AGGUUUACAAAACUGUAAUUGUGAUAAUGAUUCUUUGGACAACAUUUGAGAAAUCAAAUUGCAGACUUGUGGAGCUAAAAUCAUGACGAGAAGUUACUGGAGGUCUUGCAAAAGGGAGCUCUGCAUAUUUUUGCGACCAGGCACUAUUGCUUGUUUCUAAAUCCCUCGUCAUAGUGUGCUUCCCCAUUCUGCUUCCCUAAUUGCCUAUAGCAAUGGGUGUACUGGAUGUGGUUUCCUCCCUCCCCAUGUAUGUAUUUGAUUUUUUUUUUCAAAGAGUGCAUCAUGUUCUUGUCCUGAGAUGAAUUCGUGUCUCAAAUAGUGCACUCAAUCCAAGAAUCAUAAAGUACUCAUAAGUCUUUUGUUAUGUCUGUGAGAUGCUAUAGGAAUCGUUUCUGGUUUGUGAUAAGAGGUACAGAAGGAAGCAUACAAAAACCUUACUACUAGUAGCAUUAGAAUAACGCAAUACACUUUAUCUCCACCAAGUUAUCCUUAUUAGGAUUUCACUUAUUGUGGCUUCACCUAAAGUUUUUCCUCCAAAGUUUUAUGUGUUGAUAUUUAUUUGCUGACAUGUCCCUCAGGACUCCCUUUUUCCAUGCAAGUAAGAAGUGCUUUACUCUCGUUGUGACCCUAGGAAGGGCUGGGUGAUGCUGGAGGAUGUCCUCUGGUUUCAGAGCUCAUCACUAAGGAGUGGCUGUGUUGUUCUCAGAGUACAGCUGUUGGGUUAUUUUCAGCAGCCACUGGAGGCUUGGGGAAUUUCUACAGGUUAUCAUGUAAGAGCAGCACUUCUGUGAGGGCUGCUCAUGACCAGGACUUAUCUGUGGGCUACUGUGGUGAAUGCUGUUAAAAAUGAAUGCCAGCCACAAGCACGAAGCCUUACAAGCUGGGGAAAUGGUGUCAUUCUUCCUGUGAUAAUAUUGAUGGAUGGCUUUGUGUGUGUGAGAAAUCUUGAAAAAAGUGUUUGUUUUUUUUUUUAAGGUAAAAUGCAAUAUAAAGUGAAUGAUAUAUAUAGUUUGCGAGUCAAGAAAUAUUUCCCUUUUUAUAUUCUGCCUCACAAGGAUUUUCUCCAUAUUUAGUUUUAAGCUAAUACUUCACUUCACAUUUAAGAACCUACAAUUUAUGUCAGGAAAAGCUUUUAUGUUUAUACUGUGCCAUAACUAAUAAUGAGGGCUAUGCUUUUGCUUUACCAGGCUUCCACAUUUGCUUAAUUUAGAAGUUACUUUACUAUAAAAGGAAGAGCUCUCUCUGGAUUUCAGCUAGUAUAAUUAAUGCUGUUUCACAUUGAUGCACCAAUAUACAGAAAUUGAUUGUGCAUACAUGAAAAAUACAACACAUUCUUCUUUGAUUUCCCAUCUUUUCUUUUGGUCAAAAGAGUAAAAUAACCAGAAGAUAAAUAUUUCUACAGAAGUAGAAAUAUUCUUCUAGCCAGAAGCAAACCAAAGGGAAGUGCUAUCAUUGGACGUGUGAGUUUGGUAUUUCAGUUACACAACGAACAACAAACUACCUCAGAGGCAGUGUGAGUUCGGUACGUGAAAUUAAAAACGAUUGAAAACCUAUCUAUCGAUGUUACAAAAUGAACUACUAUUGUGAAAUCUCACAAAAUAACUGAUACAUUGAAAGUAAGUAUCUCAGUAGGAAAAUUUUUCUGCCAAGAAGCACACCGAUAUCUUCCAGUCUUUUGAUUUUCAUGCCAUUUAGCAAUUUUCUCACUUACAAAUCUGCUACAGAAACUAUUAGCUUCAAAAUAUUUUAAAAUUACAUUAAAUUUUAAUAAGUUUUGUUUUUCAUUUAGUAUUUGGAAACCAAAAGGUUGAAUUUUUCUUUUUUUUUUUUCCUCUUCUUUCAUGUUUGCUCGUCUUCAUUGUGUAUUUUGCCUUCUCCUCACCAUCUUUUGGUGGAAAAAUCAAAAAUGGUUUUCCCCAGGACUCCACAGAGAGAGGAUGGAAGAGCUGCCAAAGAGACAACUAACAGCUGCCCUGCCACAGCAGCAGAGCCUACAGGAUUUCACCUCAGAGCCUGCUGUCUUCUGGACCCCACCUUUACAUCCUUUGAGGCGUGAGCCCUCCAAAGCACAUCUCUGUGUCCGACCGGCUCGGCUCUGAUGCGGCUGACGCGGUUCCCAUCCUGAGCGAAGUCGGUGAUGGCUGUCACUGUUAGAACAGCUGCUGCACAGCUGCCUUCUGAGCAGGGCGCCGGCACCAGAUCCACCUGGCACGCUGAGAGGACGAUGUUUGGGGGCCCCAGUAAUUGGCUAUCUAAAAUGAACAUGAGCACCGAGUCUGACAAGAGGUGCUAAUAUUUCUGGAAUGAAAGUCUUAUCUUUAAGGACCCAUGCCCAGGAAAUGAAGAUGAGUUGUUCUUGUGACAAAGAAAGAGAUGAAUCUAUGCUUCUGGAAAACAUUAAUCUUUCACUAGCUUUAUUAUAGCAAGAAGCACACAGCAUUCUUUCAGAUAAACAAAUGGACCCAACAGAUAAUAAAACUUGUGAUUGUGCAAGCACCCAGCAGUACGUAUUCAUCCAUAAGUACAUACGCAUAUAACAUUUAACACCAGCUUAAGUGUGAAGCAUAGAAACACCCUCAGGCUGGAGUAAUCAGAGGUUAGAGUUGGUCAUUAGUUUAAGCUACAGAAAUGUGUUGAUUAAACUGAUGGAAAUUUGCCUUUUUAGUGACUAGCUCCUUCAAAGAUUAGUUAAUUUAUUGAGUUGUGUCUCUAUUGUGGCAACUCUUGGCACCAACACAUCAUGCCCAUUGACAACCUGAAAACCUGCUUGUGCAGGUUUUCAGUAGAAUGCAUAUUAUGGGAUUGGAAAAGUCUAUGGCAAGGAAUCAACCUCAGUCCAAUCUGUUACGCUCAAAAAUUACCUUGAUUGUUUAAGUGACUAAUUAUCAUUUGAUCCCUGUAGGUGUGACUGUUGGUUGGAGUUUUCGGUGCUAUUCCACCACACAGCAGCCAGCAUUCUCAGCUAUCUCCAUAGCUUAGAAAAUCUGUUCCCAUGAGCUCAGCAAAUGUUUGCAUGGUGGACUGGCAUAGACUGUAAGCCAAGAGCAAUAUGGGGAAGGGAGCAGCACUGAGCCAUGAAGAAACGCAAAGUACUCCAUGUACGAGAGCCAACACAGCUGCUGGAACCAUAAGAUGGAACGAGUAAGGAAUAACGAGUGAAGAGCAGCCCUAGCAAACACCCAGAGGAGCUUUCAGAUGGGAUUGGACGCUGCUGCGUGCUGGACCGCGCGUUGCUGCAUUACUGUGUCUCCCAGCUGGAGAUGUCCGCUGCUUAUGUCCAGAGGUUUUUGCUCAAAUUAAAUGGAAAACCAAAUUAAACAAUGAUUUAAUUAAGUGGAAGAGAUGGAACGUAGAGGCAGAUUUAGAAGGUGAAGAUCUGAAAGAAGCGUAUUCUUCCAAUCGUGACAUCUAACAGAUGUAAUCCUUCAACAGCAAAACAGAGAUUUACUCUCAUUUGGAGGAUAAUGAAGAAAACAAUGGCGUGUUGUUGAUCACGAAGCGGUACCAUGCUGCUGGCAGUGAGUGGUCACACACCAGCUCCUGAGCGGCCGUUCGCUGCAGUUCCAGCGAGUCGAACCCGGUGCUGCGGUACGGGCUGCGAAGGACGCGGUGUCCAGCCGGGGAGCACUCGGGAGCUGAAAGAACAGUGAGCUACGCAAUUCUCCACAGGAGUAUGCAGAUAGAGGCAGCCAAGCAUCUCUUACCUGAGGACCGAAAAGGCAUCAAGAAUGGCUGACAAAGAAGGUGACAACAAGAAGCCCCUGCAAGAGAGAUGAGAGAAUGUCUGGAAGAGGCACUUAGCUGUGGGGAGAGGCUUUUUUCACUGAUAUGUCUGAAGGUAUGGAGGAAGGUGCAAAAUCCCAAAAGGGCAAGGUUGACCUGCUCCCACUGGCUCCAAUCACAAUGGGGGAAUACAGACAUUUCUCUGCCCUCCUGCCUUCCUUGCUCAGAAGCAGUGCAUCAUGGAAAAUGGCUCUUCAUUGGCUAUCAAGGCUGAAUUGCUUCAGAGUGAUUCUGCAGCUGAUCGUGUUUGGCACAUUUCAAUCUCAGCAGUCCAAAAACCAGCCUUUCAUCAACCGAAGUAUGCACUACAAGGCUUAUUGUCUCUCACUCAAAGCACGUUGUGAACAGGUGUGUAUUUCCUUUUGACAAACACCAGAAGAACCAGCUCUUAUGCCUGCCAAGGUAGAUCACACUGGAUCUCAGGACUGAGAUGAUGCUGUUUUUCCCUUAAUGAUUUCAGCUCCCUUUCCCUUUGUUUAGCCACCUACCCCAGCUAAGCCUUUUGGCAGCAACUACAGCUCUCUCUCUUACCCCAUGUUACUUUCAAAUGUGGUGUGAAAGAAAGCCAGCGUCCAAACCUACUGUGAUGAUCCUUGCUGGCUAUUUCUAGCCUCUCCUGCCUUCCCUGUCAUGCUACAGUAAAAUUCUAGACUAAGAAUGAAUUUUGUUUCAUUUAUUCUAUAAUUUGCUGAAAUAAGUGUUUAGUGUAGAAGAAACUAUUAAGAUCUAGGUUAUUUCCUUACAGAAUACGUAGAUUCAGCAGCAUGGCUCGAUAUUAAUAACAACCAAAUGGCUAAAUCCCUGCAAACUGGGAUAAAAGUUUGUCCCUAGGGAUCCAGCAAACACUCUUAAAUCACUGAAUUAUCUUAAUUCUAAAAUAACCUUCCGGAAGCAGUGUGGAGCCCAGCUAUACUUUGAGUCAUUUAGCCAUAUCUGGAAUGCUGAGGCUAUUCCAGAUGCAGACAGGCACAAUGCAAAGCAGAGCUGGUCAAACAUGUGAAGACUUGGGGUGUAAAAGGAUUAACAGCUGCUAAUGUUGUACAUUUUUUUCUGUUGCAAUAUUAUGAGUACAGACAGCAUCCAGAGCAAUGCAAAAAGGGAAAGAUGGCAUGCAGGAAAGACAGAAUACACCUCUAUAAUACUUUAUUGAGCAGAUGAUACAGGCACUAGGAAAAUGUGUGAAGCAGAUAAGUAGCAGUUCACCAGUCUAGUGAGAAAAAGUUACUUUCUUCUACCUAAAAUUAAACCUUUCAUUUUUUUUACAGAGCAACAGUCUCUAAAAUAAAAAAGGAAGAGUGAUAAUAGUUGAAAGGCAAACUAAACGCCUGUUCAACCUGAAAUCAAGUAUCUCAGAAAUAGGAAUAAUUGAGUCAUUUAAAUUUCAAAAAUGUUGAAAGGGCAUAUUUCAACUUUAAAAAGUGCACCUCUUUUUCGGUAGUCUAAAUAGUUUGUCACAUUCAAAAUGAAGCUACAGGAGAUCCUGAUGAUGUAGUGAUGGUGUCAGCAAUGCUAUUUGAGCCAGCUCUGUUCACUGGAAGCUCUCUCCUGAGGAAGCCCACAUCAGCUGGGUUUGCUCCAUGUGCAUGUGCUCUCUGCCUAUCUUGAUGGCAUUUCUUCACACGAACUGCUCUCUAUGCUGAGCUUUUACUUUUAAUUCUUUCCUAUUCCUUCCUCUGUCUGCUGUCCUGCAAGACCCCUGCCAUGCUCCCUGCUGGAUAUCGCACAGCUCCUACUGUCCUGACGUCAGGAAAACAAUGCAUGCACGCCCCACAACAAAAACAUAUGGGAAAAUGGAGCCUUGGCCUGAUGCUUAUUCCAGUUCUGGCUACCCAGCGUAAAGAGCACGGAGACGUUUUUGGUGUGAGCAAUGCUGAAAUGAGGAACAGCCUGCUUUUCAUGAUAACGCUCCUUAUAUCUGAAUUAUUGCUGCAGUGGCUGCAUGGGAACACGAAGCAAUGAGACCACCCUCUCCCUCGAUAGUUCUUCUGUGAUAGAUGGAUUCCUCUGUCCUCCCCCUCAAGCGAGGAUAUGUAAUUCUGAUUUAUUUCCUAUGCUGUAGUGAUCAACCACGUAAAAGAAUGACUCUGGAUAUGUAUCCCAAAUGCUCUGGAUUGGCAUGUGACUUACGAACAUUUUAACAUGUCCCUUCAAAAGAAAAAUGCAGGCUUCAGUCCUGUGACACAACUGCUCUUCCUGUGAUUUGCAUCCUUUUAGGCCAUAGUUCUUCGUAGCCAUGUCACAAAUUCAAUCAUGUUGCUAGUAAGUCUGGUCUGCCAUCAGAAUCUUCAUCACUAGGAAGCCCUAAUAUGGAUGAUAUUAUGGCUCUGGCUUGAAGCAGCCUCCUGUACCAGCUAAUGUUUGUAUUUCUCUUGAACUCAUUUCUUAAUAUUUGUUACUUAUUCAUUAUGACUCCUUGACUACAGAGAGUACAUCAAAGCUAAAAUUUUCUCUUUAAUCAGGGACCUAAAGCAUUAUCACUCUGAUCAUGGGAUAGCAGCUUUCAAAUUUGCUUCUCUGUCCUAUUAUUGGAAUGUGUCCCAUCAUUUAAAGUCCUCUUCUAAGGUGGGAAAAAUAACCUUUUCCUUUUCAAGGCAAACUUUCUUUUUCUGAGGAUCCUCCACAGACUUCAUGAGCUUAUUCCAAGAGUGAAACAGGUUUUUGUAGGGAUUGAAUCGUUUGGAAUAGUACUUUGCAGUAAUUCUGCAUUGCCAAAAUCAUUUCAAAGAUUUCUUGAGGUUAAGAGCAGAAGGCUAUUUUGGCUGUGAUUUCAUGAGAAAUGGCAGUCCGUCUCUGCAAAAGGCUGUGCAGGUAGUCAUUAAACUAAGUCUCCUUUCACAGGAGAACAAAAUGUAAAGAACUGAUCUGUGAUCAUGGGUGCAUGUGGUGUAUGGGAGAGUCUGCUUUUCAGCCUUUUAUAAGAGAGUUAUAUCUAUGUAUAAUUGCUAAAAUAAGUUGCUUCUUUUUUCUUCGAGAUCAGGUAGGAGAAGGAGUUUGAGUUGUUAGCAGACAACAUUAGAUUAAAGAAAAUAAAACCAUUAAUAAUUUCUUCCAUCCUAAGUAAAGUAAACCCUAGAGCUGAGUUAGCCCCUCCAAUUCUGCUAGUGAGAAUUUAGGGAAAAGAGAAUCCCUGUCUAGGAGACAAAAGCUUGGUAGAAGGAGAAAGAGCAAAAUACAUGGGGAAACAGACUGCUUGUAUUUGUUAUCCUGACAUCUAGCUGGAGCCAGCAGCAAGAAACUAUGAGACGCUUGUGCAACACAAUGAAAGGUCCAAGAAAAGAAGACAGGAUAGAACUGGAGAAGGUUGCAUAAUCCAUCCAUGCUCAAAACCAUGCACCAUGGAUUAUGCAGAAUCCCAUUUUCCACCCGUGGGGUAACAUAUGUGGACUUUAGAGACAGUACCAUUGUUAGUCUGUGCUUUGCACAUGGUGUAUCGAUUUGGUGCAGAACUUAUCUUUCUGAGCAGCUCUCAGAAAUUCCCUGUGAACCUCGCAAAUUCUUUUCUUGGGCCCUCGGGGGCUGCCCUGAAGUUCUAUCUGCGUCGCUCGGAUGAGUGCUCGGAGCAGUCCCUGCUGCUCCCCAACAAGGGGGAGCUUGUUCAUACCCUUAUCUGCUUAGGGCUUGGCAUGGAUGGUGCACGCUUGUUUUACCUUCUGUCUGCUAACAACUUGCCCCUGAGUGUUUGGAAUCGGUAUAAAGCGAAUAGAGUGCGAUACCAUAUGUUAAUUCCAGUACGCUUUUUGGCUGAUAAAAGUGAAGAGUAUAAGCUCUGUGUGAGAUUAUUUCAUAUAAAUGCAUCAAGGCAAUUGCAUGGACAGGCUGGGAAAGCAGUAGCUUUAUCCAUUAAGAUUUUAUCUAAAUAAUCCAAAUGUUAUGAACGAGAAAAGAAAAUGAGUAGAAAGGUGGGCAACAAAAUCAAACUACCUAAGAAAAUCCAUCUGUGAUCAUGCCAAGAUUCUGAACACUGAAUUUUUUAAAAAAGCUGAGAUGUUUUGUAUGGGGCUGGUGCAUCAGAACUAUUACUCACUCUCUUUCUGGAGUGGAAACGAGUAUUCUGCCACCGCACAUAUUUCUCAGAUAAACAAAUGUAAAUGGCAAGAGGAAGGAUGAUGUUCCAUGGUGCACUUGUUCUCUUGACGCUUGAUGGUAUCAAAUAACCCCCAGUUUUGCCAAUAGAAAAAGACUGAAUUUAUGAAGAAUAAGAUCGACUGAAACAGAUGACGGUGUUUAAAAACGUUAGCUAAUAUUGAUGUUUCAGCGGAAAAAAGACUGAGAAAGCUGCCCUGAGGAUUUGAUUGAUAUGGCUGCCACAGGGGCUGGUGUCACGCUGGAUAAGACACUCCAGCCAUGUCAGAGGUGAUCAUUACUUCUGUGCUCCUUGUUUUCUGGGUGCCUGACUGAUGACCCUGAUAUGCAGAAACGUGAAGCACUUAAUGCUUAGCUGCUGCUGUGAUCCUGAUGUCAGAGCUGGCUGCAAGCGUUGCGACGAACCGUUUUUCUGUUGGAAACUGCUGACACGACGCAGCUGAGGUUUUCACAGAAACGUGUAUUUCCACUAAAGUUGUGGUUGUGCGAUUUUGUGAAAAGGGAGGAAACUCUUCAUGUUGGAAUAAUCAAAGCCCAGGAGAGACUACUGCAAAACGAGAGGUUUGGUCUCUGCUCUGAGUCAGCCCAUCAAAACUUCCCAAAUAAAUGCAGUUAACUCCUGAGUUAAUGGUUAUUAAGGGAGUGGCAGUGGAGUUGGGCACAAGAGGAACUCUCUCCCUUUCCUUCUCUAAGCAUUGUUACUAAACAUUUCAAAGGGUUUCAUUCCUGUUCAAAAGUUUUAAAAAAAGUCUUUAUAUUUUCCAUGGAAGGGGAGAGCAGCUUCCUACCAGGCUUCUGCCUUUGUCCUCUGGAUUUCAGAGGUCCUCCAUAAAUUUCUGAAGACAGUUUUUAAUGAUUCAAGUAAUUAUUUGGCUGUUACUGAGAGUGGAUUCAUCAGUUACUGCCAACCUGGAUAUACCCAUUUUAGCUGCUGUUUCUGCCUUGUGUUCCUAUAGCUCUCUUAAAAUUAACUGUGUUAAGUAUCUGAUUAUAAUUAAAUUACUCUGAGAAGGCUGAAGCAACAAAGACUGAAUGAAUUGAUAUUCUCUAUGUCAUUUUACCUGCUUUCCUCCCCUUUUAAUGGACCUACACUACUUUCCUUUGCAGUGAUAACAUGAAUACUAUUUGCCCUUCACCCCACAAAGGCUCUGAAAGUAAAUUAAUGACUGCACAUUAAACACGCGGUUGCUAUAGUGAAGAAGGAAAAAGCCUAUCAGGAAAUGAAUGGCACUUCCAAGAUGGGUUUUGCUAUUUUGUGGCAUACGUGCAUUACAGCCACAUGCUCACAAAUAAGAAAGACACGAGCUACUGACUCCGUAAUUGAGUGUCAUCUAUCCUGGGCACUGAAGGAAGCACAGGUCCUUGAGCAAAUCAGUGCACGAUCAUGCCCCAGAGACUGGAUUAUAAUUCACAAGCACAUGGAACAAAUUAAGGUGGCAUGGACAACUUUGGCUCCGGGCUUUCCUGGCUAGUGAAUGUUUCCCAUCACAACUUUGUGUGAUGAUGGUUGGGAGAAGAAUAAAUUUCUUCUCAGAGAGUAUGGUAAUGCAUUGGAACAGGCUGCCCAUGGAGGUGAUGAAGUCACUGUUUCUGGCGCUGUUCUAGAAAAGGGUUGAUGUGGCACUGAUGGACGUGGUUAGUGAGCAUGGUGGGGAUGAGCUGACUGUUGCACUUGGUGUUCUUGGUGAUCUUUUUCAACCUUAAAUGAUUCUGUGGUGAAAUAUUUGCUCAGGUUCAAGUGCUGGAUGGUGUCUCGUCAGCUUCUCCAAGGCACUUAGUACUUCCUCGCCUUGGAAGAAGUUAGAUCCCUCCUGCCUGAGAUGGUAACCAGCACCCUGUUACUCUUUGUUUUUGUAGGUCUUUAUCCACUGAGAAUACCGUGCUCUUAGUGACUACAUAAAUUUUCAAUAAUAUCUAUCACCUCUUUCUGCAGUGUCUGAUGACUACAUGAUUGUACCAGGUGGUCCUGCUCUAUUCUGGAAACACUUGGAGAUAGUAAUCGUGGAUUGCAUAGCUCUUUGUGAGCGCACGUAAUUAUGCAAACUAUAAGUGAAUAUUAUUUUGAAAAGCUGAAAUAGCACCAAGAAAAGCUGAACCAGUGCCAUGAAGAUGAUUGCCAAAAUUCUUCUUUGUAAGCUCUUUGUUUCCCAGUAUUGUUUACUUGAGAUUACUGGGGACCCAAUGCCAACCUGACACAACAUGACCCACAGCAGUCUCUGCUCUGAACUGCAGACGUUUCUAAUGGCUUUUUAUGGAUCAGUUCUUCCUUGGAGAGCACUACAGUGCUGACAUCCUGGUUGCCCCAUGGCUUGCGUGACCAGUUGUUUCAUGACUUGAAUCUAGCAUCCUCCUACCCAGAGGGAACAAUUGAGACUAUGCUGGCUUUGUAGUAACAAAGAUUUCCUACAGUAAUGAAAUUCUUACCUGGUGGCUUGUCGCAAAAUUAAGACUUUAUUUUCUGCUGAAGAAGUAUGAAUAAUAACCGGAGUGGGUCUGGUCUGGCUGACCUUGCUUUUCUUUCCCCAAAUUAUUUUCUUCUCCUGUUGUCCAUUCUGGCUGCUGGAGAUCUGACUCAGGAGCUGCCAUUUGACCUCUCUGCCCAAGACCAUAAAAUUAAUUGAACAUGCCUGUCUCCAUGUGUGUUCACUAAAGGGACCGUCCAUUCCAGCACAAGUCAGUAAAGCAUUUGCAUCAAUAUGAACAGGAAAUACCUAAAUACAGGGCAUGAAAUUUGUGCACUCAGCCUGCUAUACAAAUCAGCUCAUUGCACUUCCUCUCAUUGUCCUAUAUGUGUAACCUUUUGUCUCCCGUGUCCUUUCCACUUAAUUUUACUUUGCCCUCUACUUUCACCUCCAUUACCGUGUUAUACAUGGGCAGUUGGCGAUGUGACUCAAUCAUAUCAGCCUCCUCCCGCUGUUUUACUUCGAUCAUCUCAACCUUUCUCCACUGAGCUGACAAAGAUACUUUCUCUUGUGCCAUGGAAAAACAUGAUCUAAACAAUAUGAUAAUGUUAGCAUUCUGCGUGCAUGGUUUCAAUCACGUCUCAUGUAACCAGUCACCUGGCUGUUUUUUUUUUUUUUUCAUAAUGAAAUCACCCUUGUUAUCAGUUUGUUUUCAUUCAGUUCCUAUGAAAGGAUUGCUCACAGCUUGAGUCAAGCCAGACACUUCAAUAUCUCUGUCAGGAAGUCAGUAAAGAUAAUAAGAAGGGGUAUGCCCAGAUGAAUCUUUGGAAAUAUAACAUUUAAGAGCAGAGAUGCUUCUGAUAGCUCUCAGCCAUUUUGCAGAACAUUAAAAAAAAUAAAACAAACUGUUGUUUAUUCAUGCUUUUGUAUUGCUCCUGUGCAUCCAUUCCGUAAGUCCAAGUUUCCCACCUUUAUUGUUCAUUUUAAGAUCUUCUGCUCUCACAGCUUUCUUCCCAGGAAGAGUAGCAGAAAGCUGAGCGAGGCAGAGUCACUCCUCUGACCCAGCGGCUGGGUCCAGCUGCUACUACAGCUGCAGAGUUCUCCAGAGAGCUCUGAGAAGUGGCCCCUCCUGCUGCCAUCCAUCCCUGGGUGUCAGGGUGAGUGCUGCUGGAAGUGGAGGUGUUCCCCCAUCUCUGUCCCCUCCCCAGAAGAAAGGGAUCACUGCCCCAUGCACUCGAGCGUGCCCCGAGAUCAUCCGUUGUUUUUUGCUUCUGUGUUUCUCUCCUGAAAUGAAUAUUUUUUUGCAAUGUCAACUGGCAAUAUCUGCAUUGUUAUGAAGCUUUCUUGGCACUGCUUCUGCUGAUUGAUGGCUCUAAAAAUGCAGCAUAUUUCAUUUUCUUUUCCUAGAUGUGAAGCCAGCUGCUAAUGGUUUUCACAGGGUGAAGCUGGCAGCUGCAGGAUCAGGUCUCAGGGCUCUGAAACGUUCGUUCGCAGGAGUGCCACCUGGGCUUUUGGUUGUUUUAUUACUGAUCGUAAGAAGUAAUCUGAGCAAAAUUGGUGCUGUGCCUGGCUGCAUAUUCUGGGGUCUGAUUUGGGAAACUGAGGUCAUUAGCAUCAGAUGGACACGAUCACAGUGAUUUCUCUUUACAACUCUCUGAAAGAAGGUUGUGGCGAGGCGGAGGUCAGCUGCUUCUCCCGGGUAACAGCAAUAGAAUGAGAGGUGAUGGCUUUCAGUUGCUCCAGGGAAGGUUCAAGUUAGAUAUUAGGAAAAAUUUCUUCAGAGGAAGAGUGGUGAGGUAUUGGUACAGGCUGCCUAGGGAGGUAGUGGAGUCACUGUCCCCAGAGGUGAUCAAGAAAAGGGUCGAGGUCGAGAUCUGAGGGAUCACAGACAUGGGUUAGUGGUUGGACUAAAUGAUCUUAGUGGUCUUUCCAACACCGAUGAUUCUAUGAUCUUGAAAUCUUUCUGUAUGCAGUUAAAACUUCCUGUUUCCAAAAACAUGUUGAAGCCUGUGGUUGACAUUUGUCUCUUUUUUUUUCAUCUGGCUCUUGAAGUCAAAUACAGAAACUAAUGCAUGAAUAUUACCCUCUUUCUGUUAAUUGUGAGUGCUUGCUGAAGAUGGAAAUGAAUGUCAGUGCAUCGUAAGUAAGAGCAACUCUGUGACUCUCUGCAGCCAUCAAACCAAAUAUUUUCUUGCAGGGCUUAGAUAAAAUAGGUAUCUGUGUACGUUCUUGUUCCUUCCCUCUACAAAAUGGCCAUUUGAUUCCAACAUGUGUCUGCCCUGCCCAGUUUUCCUGUAUUUCAUUCACGACACAUGGCUGAGGCCAUCUGGGCUAUGGAAUUGCUAUAUUCCUUCUUCAAACCCCACGUAUCUCCUUCUCUGAGAAAGGCCCUCUGUGACUACUAAGCAUGUGAUGGGUUUGCUCCCACCUAGCUGUGUAGAUGGCACAUUCUUUUGGGAGGAAGAGGAAGGAAAGGCAGACAGCUUUGGCAGUGCUGCCCGUUAUUCACUAGGCUGAUUCUCAAAAGGUCAGACAGGAUGCCUGGUUCUUCUUCGAGAAGAGCACGACAAAACUGUUUGGUUUUCUGGGAAUUCCCAAAAGCAGCAAGAGCAUAAUCACACAAAAAUCAAGCAAACACAAAUGUUGUAGUGUUAGCUGCUCUGUCCCAUCAAAUCAACCUUGACACACAAUGGAGCAAUUUUAAACAGGAGAAAUAGUAUCCAUAAGAAGAACUAUCCUAAAUCUUUCUCACAGUUUGGACUAUUUGCUUAAUUUCUCACCUAUCCAAUCAACCAAAAAGCAUCCAAAAUUGCUAGGAGACUGAAGAGUGGACCUACAGUGUACGUUGCUAUUUUCUGUGGGGCUCUGCAGGUCAAGUUCUUUUUCAUCAGUGUGUGCCACAGAGGCUUUAGAUAGGGAACUGGUGAAGAAUAGCAGAACAGCGAAAGCCAUUAUCUCAAAAGACUGAUAUUUACUGGAUUCUUGCUUUUAAACUUUCUAGCUGAGUUACAGGAUUUCCUUUAUAGUAGCACAUUCAUUUGCUUCUUUUUUUUUUUUUUUAAACAAAUAAGUACAAUUGAACAGAGUAUGCUCAGGUCUUAUCCACUGUUAUCUAUAAUUAUCACCAAAGAACCUUUUAAGUCCUGUUCUCAUACAAAUGAGGCUUGUAUACUUCUAGCACAGAGGAGUACAUUAGCAAUCCUGAGGAUUAACAACAGAAUUGGGUCAAUAAGAGAAGGAGAAAGACCAGAGCAUACUGUCUGAUCGCACUGUUUCCAAUCUAAUGUGAAAAGGUACUUUCAGUGCAGAGAAUACAGUAGAGCAACAGUUAAAUUAAUGCCACUGCAUAGUCUUCAUUUGAAUCCCUGCGUACAUGUUCAGAUUUGUACGAGCAGAGGGAAUGGCUAUUAGGAUAAUCAGGAGGAAUGAAGAGCUUGCUUUGUAAGUAGAGAUUAAAAUUAAUUUGCUUAGCGUAGCAAAAGGGAGAGCGAGGAGGCAUUUUGUGUUGCUGAUAUGUGCACAGAGGGAAGGGAGCUCUGCAGGCUGAGGGAGAAUGCAGUGAGAAUAUCUGCUGUAAGAAUGAAUACAAACAUGCUUUGAGUGGAAAACAGGAAAUUUCUACCUACAGAAACAUAAAGAUCAAGAUGGCUAAAACAAAAAUCCUACUUCUCAGAUGGAUUUCAUGGCGGCUUCUAAUAGUAAAGAACUCAGGCUAAGCAGAAGCAAUGGCAUGGUUCAUAUAGCAUGGGUUUUUAUAAUGUAGCUAAAGGAGAUCUGCACGGUAGCAUUCACCAAAUCCUUCUUCCAUGUGGCCCUAAAGAAAUAAAGACACCUCCAGGCACAGCAGGUUGACACCUCUAACAGACUAUCCCCCUCUCUUUUGGAUGAAAUACUUCUGGAGUCUGAAAAUGGGCAUGAUGUAUAGAAUCAACUCAACAGGUUUCUUAGGUAUAUUUGACAAAGGGAAAAUACCUUCAUAUUACUGCCACUACUGAAGCAGAGAAGUUGGAAGGUUCUGAAGCAGGAGUUUUGAAAUGCUCACCUUGCCCUCACCCACCACAGAUUUGAUUUAAUGCCUAUAAGCCACAUUAAUGUUUAUAAUAUUUCACUUUUUGAUAAAAAAGAUGGAAAUCUAUUAUCUAUUUUGUUAUUUUAUCAUCAAUCAUUGAACUUUUGUUGGGAUUUUUUUAAUGCAUUUAUCAUCUUACCAUAAAUAUCCUGGAAUAUAAAAAUGUCUGAUUCGUAGACUCUCACUAUGAAUAAAUUAAGCUGGAUUUAUGAGACUUAUGGUCUGUUCUUCCUCCGUUCUUCGGAGGGCUUUGUGAAUGUGCAGUGAGAGCUCUUAUUUCUUAUUAUGCAAUUUUACUGCCACCGUGUAACUGGGUUAAUAUAAGGAGUAUAAAUAGGGAUACGCAUUUACUGGUGUGAUGUUUCAAUAUGGAGAUGAGCAUCUGAAGUUAAAAAAUAUGAACUGAAGUGCAGGCUGUAUUACUUACUGGGCACAUGGAAAGAAAAAGCAUUUCUAGUGCUGAAGAAAUAAUGGAGUAUGUGGGCAUUGUCUCCUAGGAAGGGGAAAAAAGAUUUCCAACAGCAGGCAUUUGCAUCUGGUUUGAUUCCUUCCCUUAGUCAUCACAUUGACUUGAUAAUCUUGGAGCCUGAUAAUCUUUAAGGUGCCUUUCAACCUAAGCCAGUCUAUGAUUCUGUGAUUUUUAUUCUGUCUUUCAGAGUUCAGAGAAAAUGUCAGACCCAAUUUCCUUUGACCCUAAAUCUAAGAGCAGAACAGGUAUUCUGUACACAACAGGCAGGCAAUUUACUUAAAAGGUUAAACAUCUCACUAGCCUAGAACAAAACUUCAUCACCGUUGUAGCCGUUUUGGUUGCAUUGUGAUGUCAGAUGGAGAGCCAGCGGGUUAUUGCUAUAUUAUGUUUCAUUAUGAAAUCCAGUCAGAUUAAUGACUUUGGGGCCAUUUGAGAUUUACAUAAUUUAUAUCGAUGACUUGCUGCUUAAAGUGUUUUACCAAAUAGGGAAAUAAAUUGUAGGUUUUAUAAAAAUAUCAUAAUUAAAAAUUGACUUGUACUAACUGCUGGCUUCAGGAAUGUGCAUGAAGUUCAAGUAUGAUGGAUUGUUUUGCUCAGUGCAAACUAUAAAAAACAAGAGAGACUUAUGACGAUAAAGCUUUUUCGGGGGAGUGGUUACAUUAUCAAUCUUUAUAUUGAGCCAAAAGCUGCUUGCAUUUCUUCUGUGCAUAUUUUAUUGACUUAACUGUGACCAGUUGUGGAAAGAGAGCAAUAUUGGUAUUCUACUGAAGAGACCUUCAAAAUCAAAAUAUCUGUUCUUUAACCAAGAAUAAAACCUCAGAAACCAAACACUUAUUUUAGUUACUUGACUCCAGAAUUUAGCAAACUGGGUUAAAUCUUUUGCUACAAAAAUGGAAGGGCAAGUUUCUUGACUUUCUUCACUUUAGUGGUCAAAAUAUUCAUGUGGUGAAUGUUAUUUUUGUAUUGAUUUGAUUGCGGGGAAGCAAUGAAGAAAUAUGCAGUGGGUAUCUGUGAUAUGUAAGCCUGACACUAAUAUUUUUGUUGAGAGGUGUUGUUUGCUGAAAAUGGGUUUGAGCGCAUCUUUUGGGGUGUAAAAAUGAGCCGAAACCUGCUGUCUGUAUGACUGCUGUAUUUCCAGUAUUUAAAAGGGGAUUAUAAAAAGGAGGAGAAUCAACUUUUUACUCAGGUAGAUAGGACAAGGAAGAAUGGUUUUAAGCUCAAGGAGGGAAGGCUUAGAUUGGAUGUCAGGGCAAAAUGCUUCACAGAGAGACUGGUGAGGUGCUGGAACAGGCUUCCCAGGGAGGCUGCGGAUGCCCCAUCUCUGGAGGUUUUCAGGGUUGGAUGGGGCUCUGGGCAACCUGGUCUAGUACCAGAUCUGGAGGUUGGUGCCUGUGGCAGGGGGUUGGAACUUGUUGUCUUUGAGGUCCUUUCCAACCCACGCCAUUCUGUGAUUCACAGUGAAAAAAAUCAGAGGAGCUGAACAGGAACAAUGGCUUUGAAGUUAACAUGCAACAGUAAAGUUCAUAUGUAAGGAAUUAAACACAUUCUUCCCUUUCUUUUUUUUGUGUCAAACCAAAAUUCAGUUAUUUAAUCAGCAUACUGAGAUUUGCGAAGGGUUUGCUAGAAAUGAGAAGUUGUUCCUUGCUGCUACAAUUAGAGAUGAAGCACAAAACACUUUACCACCUCUUACCCCUGGAAAAAGGGCACUGGGGAAGACAGUGUCCAAGCUGCUGUGCUGCCCAGGAGCUGGAAGCUAACAUCCAGCAGAUGUUAGCAGAGCAGAACGGAGGAAAGCAAAGUCCUAGGAUGGUGAUGGAUGGCACAACAGCACCAAGACAUCAGACAGAAGACUAUCUUACAAUUAUUAACACAAGAGGAAUAAAUCUGUUGGAGGAAUGACUCAUAUUUGUAUGAGAGAGACUGUACAACUGCAGGAGCAGCAUAAUACUAGCUGGAGGCUUUUUUUUUUUUUUAAAGCAAGCCUUUCGUGUCAUGCAGCAGUGCAUGCACAGCAAGGGGCACUCUCUUGUGAUGGAAUUACAUGCUCAACAAGCUAUGCCUCACAGUCAUGGUAUACAGUGGUUCUGCAACAGGGAGAGAGACUUCCUUCUGAUACACCUUUAUGAAAUAGAUUUGAAGUAAGUUUCAAGGUUUGAAAUAAGUUUUGAUCUGCACACCAGAUAUCUGUGAUAAUAAAAAUGUGUUUCCCCUUAA